rnacentral:lncRNA from 1 species
AGGCCUUUAGUUUCAUUCAGUCUGGUCUUAAGACCAUGUAGGAUUGUUCGGUUUGUUACCUCCAUUUCACUGUUGGAUUUUAGAUGGCUAGCUAAUGUGAGUUUGUAUGUAAUAUAAAAUUUCACACAAAAUUUUUUAAAAUUCUGAUUGUCGAAUUAUCGAUUAUUAUCGAUGAUGAUGGUAUGUGGUAGACCGAAUAUGUAUAUAAUUGACUUCUAAACGAAGUCUUUCAUUUUACUUUCAGU